AGCAUCCCGGAUCUCCUAGCUCUCAUCUCGUCCGUGAUCCACCUUCAUCCCAAUCCGGAUUUCUUCUCAGCCACAUCAAGUUAACAAUAGCAUCCUCAUCCUCUUCCUCCGAGAUCUUCUCACACACCCACAGCCGAAUGAUCCCAACUAGAUUCCGCUAGUUCCCAGCCUUCCUAUCAUCAUCCAAGCCUCAUCCUCUUCUCCGAAUAACAUCCAAGAUUUAUCCCAGCUCC
rnacentral:lncRNA from 1 species